GCUGGGUGCAGUGGCGCACGCCAGUAAUCCCAGCAGCUCGGGAGGCUGAGGCAGGAGACUCAUGAGUUCAAAGCCAGCCUCAGCAAUAGCCAGGUGCUCAGCAACUCAGUGAGACCCUGUCUCUA
rnacentral:sRNA from 1 species